UCAGGAUGAACGCUGGCGGUCUGCUUAACACAUGCAAGUCGAACGGGAACCUUCGGGUUCUAGUGGCGGACGGGUGAGUAACGCGUGAGAAUCUACCAAAAGGACUGGGACAACCACUGGAAACGGUGGCUAAUACCGGAUGAGCCGUAACGUAAAAAGGGAAACCUGCCUUUUGAAGAGCUCGCGUCUGAUUAGCUAGUUGGUGAGGUAAGAGCUCACCAAGGCAGCGAUCAGUAGCUGGUCUGAGAGGAUGACCAGCCACACUGGGACUGAGACACGGCCCAGACUCCUACGGGAGGCAGCAGUGGGGAAUUUUCCGCAAUGGGCGAAAGCCUGACGGAGCAAGACCGCGUGAGGGAAGAAGGCUCUUGGGUCGUAAACCUCUUUUAUCAGGGAAGAACAAAAUGACGGUACCUGAAGAAUCAGCCUCGGCUAACUCCGUGCCAGCAGCCGCGGUAAUACGGAGGAGGCAAGCGUUAUCCGGAAUUAUUGGGCGUAAAGCGUCCCGCAGGUGGCUUAUCAAGUCUGCUGUCAAAGAGUGGGGCUUAACCCCAUUAAGGCAGUGGAAACUGAGAAGCUAGAGUGCCCGUAGGGGUAGAGGGA
rnacentral:rRNA from 1 species